UACGUAGGGUGCAAGCGUUAUCCGGAAUUAUUGGGCGUAAAGAGCUCGUAGGCGGUUUGUCGCGUCUGCUGUGAAAACCCGAGGCUCAACCUCGGGCCUGCAGUGGGUACGGGCAGACUAGAGUGCGGUAGGGGAGAUUGGAAUUCCUGGUGUAGCGGUGGAAUGCGCAGAUAUCGGGAGGAACACCAGUGGCGAAGGCGACUCCUGGCCUGUUCUUGACGCUGAGGCGCGAAAGGCUAGGGGAGCAAACGGG
rnacentral:rRNA from 1 species